rnacentral:rRNA from 1 species
GAGGAAAGUGGCGGACGGGCGAGUAACGCGUGAGUAACCUGCCCAUAAGAGGGGGAUAAUCCAUGGAAACGUGGACUAAUACCGCAUAUUGUAGUUAAGUUGCAUGACUUGAUUAUGAAAGAUUUAUCGCUUAUGGAUGGACUCGCGUCAGAUUAGAUAGUUGGUGAGGUAACGGCUCACCAAGUCAACGAUCUGUAGCCGAACUGAGAGGUUGAUCGGCCGCAUUGGGACUGAGACACGGCCCAGACUCC